rnacentral:pre_miRNA from 1 species
CGGGGCUUGGCUCACUUGUGAACACUGCUGUAUUUUAUCCUGUUCACAGUGGCUAAGUUCUGCA